rnacentral:rRNA from 1 species
UUUAAUUGAAGAGUUUGAUCAUGGCUCAGAUUGAACGCUGGCGGCAGGCCUAACACAUGCAAGUCGAGCGGUAACAGGGGAAGCUUGCUUCUCGCUGA